rnacentral:rRNA from 1 species
AUUGAACGCUGGCGGCAGGCCUAAUACAUGCAAGUCGAACGAGUGGCGGAAGGGUGUGUAAUGUCUGGGAAACUGCCUGCUGGAUGGGGAUAACUACUGGAAACGGUAGCUAAUACCGCAUACCACCAGCUGUACCCAGAGGGGAUUAGCUAGUUGGUGGUGUAACGGCUCACCAGGGCGCCGAUCCCGAGCUGGUCUGAGAGGAUGACCAGCCACCCUGGAACUGAGACACGGUCCAGGCUCCUACGGGAGGCAGCAGUGGGGAAUAUUGCACAAUGGGCGCAAGCCUGAUUCAGCCAUGCCGCGUGUAUGAAGAAGGCCUUCGGGUUGUAAAGUACUUUCAGCGGGGAGGCGUUACCCGCAGAAGAAGCACCGGCUAACUCCGUGCCAGCAGCCGCGGUAAUUC